UUACUAAAGCGGGAAAUUUUAGAGCCUAUUCUUUUCAUCGGCGUCAGGCACUUAAAGCAAAAAAUCUCUCGACUAUAUCCUCGUCGUUUCCGUUCUUCUUUCGAUCCUUGCUCUCCCACUCUCUCGUCCUCUUCUCAUUAUCUUUCUCUUAGUCCUUUCUGUCAUCUAAUAAUCGCAAGUAAUCUUUGAUAGUGGGAAUCACAAUUUUUUCCCCCAAAUCAAAAAGCUAGGUCUUCGAUUCCGCCAUAGUCUCCAUCGCAAAAAUCGUCGCUGGCCACAAGAUCUCGAUUUCACCUCCUUAUCGUUUUUGAAACCUCAAGACCACGUUCACCAUGGUUGAUAAGGAGAAAGCCGUGAGUCUGUACCGGAGAGCUGCGGAGCUUGGUGAUGUUGUUGGUCAAUGUAAUGUGGGGAUUUCUUAUCUUCAAGAAUUUGGAUUUGACGAGAUUAUUACUGACCAAUUGGUAAUGGAUUGGUGGAGCAUUUUCUGAGACAUUGGUUGCUUGUAUCUGCAGUUCAACCCUCGAAUCCCAAGGAAGCGAUCAAGUGGUUGAAGCAAUCUGCUGAGAAUGAUUACGUUCGAGCACACUAUCACUGUAUCAGUUAGCUUUUUGUUUACACCAAGGUCGGGUUGUGCAACUGCAAACCAAUAUGCUAAUAGCAUCUGAGAUUGAAGUGUUGAGAGUUGUAUACUUACUAGCUCAAGAAAAGCAGCAAUGUGGUGGACAGAUUACUUCUAAGAUGAAUGGGAUGGUUUGAACAGAAGAAGACAGUAGCAACUCUUGAGAUGGAAUUUAGUGCAGCAAGGCAAGAAGGCUUUGUUUCAAAAUCCCAAACAUACUAAUGGAAUUAAAAGUUCGGAGAUUGGAUAUCAAGGCUAGAACCAACCAAGUGUUCAAGCUUCUAAGAGGAAACUCACGAGGAUGAAGGCCAUGUGUGAACAAGUCUACUUGAGCCUCCAGUCUGGAGGUAUUACAUAGCUUUCCUACUUUCUUAAUAAGUAAAGGCGAUGAAGGAUGAGGAUGGUGUGGCUAGAGCCGUGAAGAUCCGGUUGUUGGUGUUACGGAGUUCAACGGAAGAUCCAGUUGGUGGCACUUAGGAUGUUAGCUUUAUUUUGUUUCAAUACUUGGCUGCACUUAAGAUAUUAGUAUAAGACUUGUAUGAUCUUAUGUAUGACAUUUUUUGGGUUAAAGUAUUUAUAUUAUAUAUA